GGGCCGAUAGCUCAUCUGGUAGAGCGCAGCAUUCGCAUUGCUGAGGUGGAGAGUUCGAGCCUCUUUCGGUCCA
rnacentral:tRNA from 1 species